UACUACAAUCUGAACAAGAUUAGAACAAAAGGCUUUCAUAAUUGCAUUAAUCUAAAAUAACUUGACUUGUUUAAGCUUUACAAAUAAUUGUGCUCCUGUUCUUUUCUUGGUCAGAAUAUUUUCGUUACAUUUCUGCCUCCAGCCAGUCUUACGCAAUCCAGGCUUUGUUUAUUGAAGUCAAAUUUUUUGGCUAGUUUAUGUUGAGUUGUGACCAACUCUGUGCAAGUUUCCUGAACCAAACUCUGAGGACUCAGAUAAAAAGAGUAUGAUGAGAGUUUGAGCAAAAAGGCAGCAGAAGAUGGACUGACAGACCAGAAAAGACAUUGUGACAGAGUCCCAGUAGAGAUGCCACCAGCCAGUCUGAGAGGGACUGCGUGUCGAGAUAUUCCCUAACAGCAGCGUCAGAGAUGGAAGAGUGAAAACUACACCUGCUGAAGUCCAAAUUCAGUUCCCAAAGAGAAAUGACACCAUAAACUGAUUUGAGACCAGAGUAAAAACACUUUUCCAUCAGUUUUAUUGGUGGCCAGAGACGAUGGAUCCGAGGUAGAACACUACAAAUCUUCUUUUCUCACAUAUGUAUUUGUAGUUAUGUGGACAUUUUAUCUUUAAAUGUCUACAAGCAAUUAAUAGAGUAUGUCUGUAAAGUGCUGGAAGUUCAUGUCUUGUUUAAUCUGUUAAAGAAAAAUAGUUUUUCACUGUUUUUUACAUCAUCACCACAAGCUAUGCACACAUUUCAAAAACUAACUCCAUCAAGACUCACUGGUUUUACUGGAUGAACAGCGACACCCUGAGGAGGUUAACAGAUGUUACACCACAUCACAGAAUUAAAGACAAAUAUAUAUAUGUAUAUAUAUUAUUCUGUUUUGUACCUAUAUCUGCUGUGCAUUUAGAUCAAUAAAUGUAUUGACUUUC